rnacentral:rRNA from 1 species
GACGAACGCUGGCGGCGUGCUUAACACAUGCAAGUCGAACGGAAAGGCCCCCUUGUGGGGUACUCGAGUGGCGAACGGGUGAGUAACACGUGAGUAACCUACCCUUGACUUUGGGAUAACUUCAGGAAACUGGGGCUAAUACCGGAUAGGAGCUCCUGCUGCAUGGUGGGGGUUGGAAAGUUUCGGCGGUUGGGGAUGGACUCGCGGCUUAUCAGCUUGUUGGUGGGGUAGUGGCUCACCAAGGCUUUGACGGGUAGCCGGCCUGAGAGGGUGACCGGCCACAUAGGGACUGAGAUACGGCCCAGACUCCUACGGGAGGCAGCAGUGGGGAAUAUUGCACAAUGGGCGGAAGCCUGAUGCAGCAACGCCGCGUGCGGGAUGACGGCCUUCGGGUUGUAAACCGCUUUCGCCUGUGGCGAAGCGUGAGUGACGGUAAUGGGUAAAGAAGCACCGGCUAACUACGUG